GCUCUGUCCUUAAGGGGUUAAAAAAGGUAACAGUGAUUCAGCAUUACAGAAUGCUCCAAUGUUCUCAAUAUGCAGAGAAAUUCCCAAGGUUUUAUUAUACUGCUUGCAAAUUAUAACGAAGAAGCAUAUUUAUGGUACUUGGUGCAUAUCAACAAACUUUGGAAGGUAAGCAAUCUGGUUGGACUGUGUGGGCCAGUAAAGGGAGUGCCAGUGAUCUAACUAGCUGGCUUUCUUGCUGGACAAAUCAUGGCGAGAUCAUGUAGAGCUAUUCUGCAUGGUCAUAGUGCCCUCAUGACAGCGUGUGCGUUUAAUAAUACACUUGUACUGUGCUGGCUGGGGACAGUUUCAUGCUAAUGCAUGUCACAGGGAAACAAAAUCAAGAUGACACGACAGACUGUAUUUUAGCAAUCAUCGACGGUCCGUGGUUCAGUUCUCU